UACGUAGGGUGCAAGCGUUGUCCGGAAUCAUUGGGCGUAAAGCGCGCGUAGGCGGCCCGAUAAGUCCGCUGUGAAAGUCGGGGGCUCAACCUCGAAUGCCGGUGGAUACUGUCGGGCUAGAGUGCGGAAGAGGCGAGUGGGAAUUCCUGGUGUAGCGGUGAAAUGCGCAGAUAUCAGGAGGAACACCAAUUGCGAAGGCAGCUCGCUGGGACGUUACUGACGCUGAGACGCGAAAGCGUGGGGAGCAAACAGG
rnacentral:rRNA from 1 species